rnacentral:rRNA from 1 species
GACGAACGCUGGCGGCGUGCCUAAUACAUGCAAGUAGAACGCUGAAGGAGGAGCUUGCUCUUCUGGAUGAGUUGCGAACGGGUGAGUAACGCGUAGGUAACCUGCCUGGUAGCGGGGGAUAACUAUUGGAAACGAUAGCUAAUACCGCAUAAGAGUAGAUGUUGCAUGACAUUUACUUAAAAGGUGCAAUUGCAUCACUACCAGAUGGACCUGCGUUGUAUUAGCUAGUUGGUGGGGUAACGGCUUACCAAGGCGACGAUACAUAGCCGACCUGAGAGGGGGAUCGGCCACACUGGGACUGAGACCCGGCCCAGACUCCUACGGGAGGCAGCAGUAGGGAAUCUUCGGCAAUGGACGGAAGUCUGACCGAGCAACGCCGCGUGAGUGAAGAAGGUUUUCGGAUCGUAAAGCUCUGUUGUAAGAGAAGAACGAGUGUGAGAGUGGAAAGUUCACACUGUGACGGUAUCUUACCAGAAAGGGACGGCUAACUACGUG